rnacentral:rRNA from 1 species
CGAGUUACUGGCUCAAGGAUAAACGCUGGCGGCGUGCAUAACACAUUCAAGUCGAACGGAGUUGCCAAGUAGCAAUAUGAAGCAACUUAGUGGCGGACGGGUGAGUAACGCAUGAGCAACCUGCCCUUGUGAGCGGAAUAACGUCGGGAAACCGACGCUAAUACGGCAUAACGCACAGAUACCGCAUGGUGACUGUGUCAAAGAUUUUUAUCGCACAAGGAUGGGCUCGUGUCCGAUUAGUCAGUUGGUGAGGUAACGGCUCACCAAAACCGCGAUCGGUAGCCGGACUGAGAGGUUGAACGGCCACAUUGGAACUGAGAAACGGUCCAGACUCCUACGGGAGGCAGCAGUGGGGAAUAUUGGGCAAUGGGCGAAAGCCUGAACCCCCAGCGACGCCGCGUGAGGGAAGAAGGUCUUCGGAUUGUAAACCUCUGUUGACAGGGACGAAAGCGGGGCAACCCGCGUGACGGUACUUGUCGAGGAAGCCACGACUAACUACGUGCCAGCCGCCGC